rnacentral:rRNA from 1 species
UAACAAGGUCCAGAAAGUGAAGGAUUAACGGAUAUAUACCUUUUUCUCGAUUUCGUCGUCUCAACGGAAGCCUUGUAAGUAAAGUCUGCCUUCGGGCAGGCGACAUUCGCCUGUAGCUGGAAACUUCUCCUCUGUUCCAUAGGGGUUAACAAUCAGCUGCUACAUGCUAAACGCGUGUAGUCCACAGAUCAAACGCGAGUGGCCUCUUCUCUUCUCUUUUCCGUCUUCGACUUCUCCCGCCGGGCGCACAACCUUGAAGAGCUCUCGGUUCCUGAAGGUUCCUAAGAGAAGUGGUUAAGAUAUGACCGUAGCAGCUCUGCGAAGAGUCUGGUAUACUAGUUCCGUAGGUGAACCUGCGGAAGGAUCAUUA